UCAUCAUUGUGAACUCAUGUGACAGAAAGAGGAGCGUUGCACUCGGACUCAUCUGCUUCCCCAUCAAGAGAUCAGAACUAUCAGAGCCAUCUUUGAUUUUGCGAGAUCAGGCCCCCCACUUAGUGUAUUUGACAAGCUGAGUUUGACACUCUGUAUCAGUGAGUGUCAGUUUGUCAAAUACCCCAAGUGAGGUGUCACUUGUCUACAAAUUUAACCCAUCCUGGGUUACUCCACAGACUGAGCAGCCAACUCCACAGGGUGAUCUACCACAUCAAGGAACGUGAAAACACCAAGGCAACAGGCUCGAAACGCUUUUCUUGUGAAACAUUUGAGGAUAUAGACAAGGAACAAGGUUUACAGUGGUUAAAGUCGUAAUGGUGACAAAUGCUUAGUCAUUGUAUCAUCUGUUUAACUGUCUGUUAUUUGGUAAAUCAUAAGCAAAUUACUCUCAUACAUAAUUGUUGUAAUGAACAGAAAGAUUAAUUUUAUCCCAUGAGAAUCAUAUAUGUGUAUUUAAUGAAUCAACAAAGGCUUCGUAGAGAUGUUUGAAUAAGAGAGAGGUGUGUUAAUAGGUUUAUUGACCAAAAAAGCCUAACCUCUUGAACCCAAUUUUGUUUUUCAGUCUUUUUAUUGUUAGGCUUAUUAGCACUACAUAUCUCAGCCAAAGAUGCCACAUACUGUUAUUUACAGGACAGGCAAGGCUGCUCUGAAAUUCCAUCAUUAGGUAUGUGAGUGGAACUAUACAUGUUCUAGGACCAGAGUGUUUUGACACAAUUUGCAUCUAGAGGGUUACAGAGGUUAAAAAAAGGUUUUGAAACAUAUUGUUCAAAACCCAUGAGAACAACCUCAAUAUGAGAUCUGAGUGUCAUAUACAAUGAUCUGUUGCCAGGGAUGCAAAUGAGCAAACAUUAAAAUGCAUGCAUGCAUGCAUAAAUGUACCAUAUUAUACCAUCAUAUUAUAUGUAUUCACUUGCAUGUCUUGUGUAAGAGCAAAUCCAUGUCAAAUUAUCAGUUUCUACUUCAAUAAAGACUAAAGGGGUGGUCAGUCUUUUAUGAGACUGCACAUCUGUAAACUUUU